GAUGAACGCUGGCGGCGUGCCUAAUACAUGCAAGUCGAGCGAACAGAUAAGGAGCUUGCUCCUUUGACGUUAGCGGCGGACGGGUGAGUAACACGUGGAUAACCUACCUAUAAGACUAGGAUAACUUCGGGAAACCGGAGCUAAUACCGGAUAACAUAUUGAACCGCAUGGUUCAAUAGUGAAAGGCGGCUUUGCUGUCACUUAUAGAUGGAUCCGCGCCGUAUUAGCUAGUUGGUAAGGUAACGGCUUACCAAGGCAACGAUACGUAGCCGACCUGAGAGGGUGAUCGGCCACACUGGAACUGAGACACGGUCCAGACUCCUACGGGAGGCAGCAGUAGGGAAUCUUCCGCAAUGGGCGAAAGCCUGACGGAGCAACGCCGCGUGAGUGAUGAAGGUCUUCGGAUCGUAAAACUCUGUUAUCAGGGAAGAACAAAUGUGUAAGUAACUGUGCACAUCUUGACGGUACCUGAUCAGAAAGCCACGGCUAACUACGUG
rnacentral:rRNA from 1 species